UACUACAUACCUACUAGCACAAUGGUUUUCAGUUAUAAAAUAUACAGGAUUCAUCUAUAGGUCAACUCUGGCUUGGGCCUGUUAUCCAAGCCUUAGCGCUUCAUCAAGUAGAAAUGUCUGAUUUCU